CGCGCAGGCGGCUGGCCAAGUCCGAUGUGGAAGCUUCCGGCUUAACUGGAAAACGGCAUCGGAUACUGGUCGGCUGGAAGGUGGGAGAGGGUAGCGGAAUUCCCGGUGUAGUGGUGAAAUGCGUAGAUAUCGGGAGGAACACCAGUGGCGAAAGCGGCUACCUGGCCCACUCUUGACGCUGAGGCGCGAAAGCUAGGGGAGCAAACG
rnacentral:rRNA from 1 species